GAGUUUGAUCCUGGCUCAGGAUGAACGCUAGCGGCAGGCCUAACACAUGCAAGUCGAGGGGUAACGAUGGCUUCGGCCAGGCGACGACCGGCGCACGGGUGAGUAGCGCGUUUGUAACCUACCUCUAACUGGAGCAUAGCUCCCGGAAACGGGAAUUAAUUCUCCAUAACAUUUAAACAUGGCAUCAUGUUUUUAUUAAAGCUCAGGCGGUUAGAGAUGGGCAUGCGUGACAUUAGCUUGUUGGUAAGGUAACGGCUUACCAAGGCUACGAUGUCUCGGGGGUCUGAGAGGAUGAUCCCCCACACUGGUACUGAGACACGGACCAGACUCCUACGGGAGGCAGCAGUGAGGAAUAUUGGGCAAUGGACGCAAGUCUGACCCAGCCAUGCCGCGUGCAGGAUGACGGCUCUAUGAGUUGUAAACUGCUUUUAUACAGGAAGAAAUCCUCUGACGUGUCAGAGGUUGACGGUACUGUAAGAAUAAGCAUCGGCUAACUCCGUGCCAGCAGCCGCGGUAAUACGGAGGAUGCAAGCGUUAUCCGGAUUUAUUGGGUUUAAAGGGUGCGUAGGCUGGACAAUCAGUCAGUGGUGAAAUCCUGCGGCUUAACCGUAGAACUGCCAUUGAUACUGUUGUCCUUGAGUAUAGUUGGGGUGGGCGGAAUGUGUAAUGUAGCGGUGAAAUGCAUAGAGAUUACACAGAACACCAAUUGCGAAGGCAGCUCACUAAGCUAUAACUGACGCUGAGGCACGAAAGCGUGGGGAGCGAACAGGAUUAGAU
rnacentral:rRNA from 1 species